GAGUAACCUAUAUUUGCCUUGAAAGCAAAUCAAGAUCAUAAAAAUCAUUACUCU
rnacentral:tRNA from 1 species